GACCCAGUGUGGUGUAGUGGUUUGAGCAUCAGACUUUGACUCUGGAGACCAGGGUUCAAAUCUUAGCUUGGCCA